AAACUCAUUCUUCCAUGCCCUAUAAACUCGUUCCUCCACGAGAACCGGUUGUCCAACUCGUUCUCACCCAUGAUAACCUAAAGUUGUUACUUAAUCGGUUGAUCAUCACCAUCACUAUAAGAACAGUGGGUGCUUCAAUUGCUGGAUACAUUUGUAUAGGCUUCAAUUCAACGAUGCUGUAAAUGGAUUCCAUUAGAUGAUAAUUGGUUUAUAUUGAACUGUGAUGGGGCAGUGAUGUAGUUAUUGUGUUUUUGUUAAAGGACAUGGGACUCCAAAGUGACAAUUUAUCGUUUGUUAUAUUUGGAUGGAAACUUUUGGCAUGGCUCUGCUAUGGAAAGAGUGAGGAUCAUUGAAAAAGAGUUGAAAAAGAGAGUGGAGGAGACUAUGAAAAAUAUGUUAAAGAAACAAGUGUAAACUAGAGUUUUAAAGAUUAUGGGAUAUGUCAAGCCUUCAAAAUAUAAUGCCAAACACACUUAGGUGAUGCAAAAUUAGAGUUGGGGUUGUACCCAUUACCCUGCUAUUGCUAAAAGUAACACAUGGACAUACCAUUUUAUCCAAAAAUUAAGGGAUGAGGCGCGUGGAGGUAAUCCUGAAGCUAAAAAGGAGGUGGAACAAGAAGAGAAAGAAAGUCGAGAUGAAUAGGAAGAAGAAUGCAUAGAAAAUGUUGAAGAAGAAGAAGAGGAUGAUGACUAGACUGUUGCCACAACUUGACCACCGUUAAUGUGAAACUUUAUUUUCUUUGUUUCAUUGUUUCACAGUUUAAUCUUAUUAUCUAUUCAAUAAUUUAUGUGCAUUUUAUGUAUUUUAUUAACAAUGCCAUGGACAAGAGGAACUUGGACAUGUUGAUUAUUUUGUAUUUGGUACAUGAUUAUGUCCAAGUUUCCAAACAUCUGAGUA